UGCAAGCGCUGUCCGGAAUUAUUGGGCGUAAAGAGCUCGUAGGCGGUCUGUUGCGUCGGCUGUGAAAACCCGGGGCUCAACUCCGGGCCUGCAGCCGAUACGGGCAGACUAGAGUUCGGCAGGGGAGACUGGAAUUCCUGGUGUAGCGGUGAAAUGCGCAGAUAUCAGGAGGAACACCGGUGGCGAAGGCGGGUCUCUGGGCCGAUACUGACGCUGAGGAGCGAAAGCGUGGGGAGCGAACAGG
rnacentral:rRNA from 1 species